rnacentral:rRNA from 1 species
CUACGGGUGGCUGCAGUGGGGAAUAUUGGGCAAUGGGCGAAAGCCUGACCCAGCAACGCCGCGUGAAGGAAGAAGGUUUUCGGAUCGUAAACUUCUAUCCCAGGUGAAGAUAAUGACGGUAGCCUGGAAGGAAGCCCCGGCUAACUACGUGCCAGCAGCCGCGGUAAUACGUAGGGGGCAAGCGUUGUCCGGAAUGAUUGGGCGUAAAGGGCGCGUAGGCGGCCUUCUAAGUCCGAUGUGAAAGUCCUGCUUUUAAGGUGGGAAUUGCAUUGGAAACUGGAGGGCUUGAGUGCAGGAGAGGUAAGUGGAAUUCCCGGUGUAGCGGUGACAUGCGUAGAGAUCGGGAGGAACACCAGUGGCGAAGGCGACUUACUGGACUGUAACUGACGCUGAGGCGCGAAAGUGUGGGGAGCAAACAGGAUUAGAUACCCUCGUAGUC